rnacentral:rRNA from 1 species
UACGGGGGGGGCAAGCGUUGUUCGGAAUUACUGGGCGUAAAGGGCUCGUAGGUGGCCAACUAAGUCAGACGUGAAAUCCCUCGGCUUAACCGGGGAACUGCGUCUGAUACUGGAUGGCUUGAGUUCGGGAGAGGGAUGCGGAAUUCCAGGUGUAGCGGUGAAAUGCGUAGAUAUCUGGAGGAACACCGGUGGCGAAGGCGGCAUCCUGGACCGAUACUGACACUGAGGAGCGAAAGCCAGGGGAGCAAACAGG